rnacentral:tRNA from 1 species
GAAUCAUUGCCUUAGAAUGAGAGCGUCUGUCUUGUAAACAGAAGGUCUCUGGUUCGAUUCCAGCACGAGGCA